CCUACGGGAGGCAGCAGUGAGGAAUAUUGGUCAAUGGACGAGAGUCUGAACCAGCCAAGUAGCGUGAAGGAUGACUGCCCUAUGGGUUGUAAACUUCUUUUAUAUGGGAAUAAAAUGUUCCACGUGUGGGAUUUUGUAUGUACCAUAUGAAUAAGGAUCGGCGAACUCCGUGCCAGCAGCCGCGGUAAUACGGAGGAUCCGAGCGUUAUCCGGAUUUAUUUGGUUUAAAGGGAGCGUAGGUGGAUUGUUAAGUCAGUUGUGAAAGUUUGCGGCUCAAACGUAAAAUUGCAGUUGAAACUGGCAGUCUUGAGUACAGUAGAGGUGGGCGGAAGUCGUGGUGUAGCGGUGAAAUGCUUAGAUAUCACGAAGAACUCCGAUUGCGAAGGCAGCUCACUGGACUGCAACUGACACUGAGGCUCGAAAGUGUGGGUAUCAAACAGGAUUAGAUACCCUUGUAGUC
rnacentral:rRNA from 1 species